GAUUGAGUACGCUCGAUCUGCCGUCGAGCCGCCGGCCCACUUCACAAGGAAGGCCAUCCCGUCAUCCCGUGUCUGUCGGUAACAGCCCGACCCAAUGAACAGGCCCUCUCGGACUUCAACUGGUCCAACGAACAAGGCCCAGCCCCGGACUCCCCUCUCCCUCUCGCUCUCUCCCUCUUCCUCCCUCUUCCUCCCCCUGUCCCUCUCUUUCCCUUCCUCCUCUUUCUUUCGUCUUCUAUCUUAACCCCGCAGCAGGCCGAGUAAAGAGAAGGAAAGGGGACAGAAGAGUUCCAAACCUAAUCAGAUCUUGUUAUAUGAAAAUUAUAGCAUAAUUGUCUUCGCACUUUGAUGGUGAUUGACUAUGGAAAAGCGCGUAUGCAAACUAGAGAUUGUUCUUGUCCCGGAUCAAGACGACUCCGGAUGGAUUAAAUUUAGUAAUAUAUGUUUAUUCGCAUCAAACUAGCCGGGGAGAAGUUGCUAUUUAGUAAGUUUCACAGGUUACUGAAUUGUCGUCAUAAGUCGAAGAUCGGUUUCUUCAUUUUGCCUCAUAGCUGCUGUAUCGGUUAUAUAUUGCAUCCUUUCCUGUAGUUUGACCUUCGUCGAACAAGAAGAUUGUGGAGUUGUGACCUAUGUGUACUCCAUUCGGGCAGGUUGAUCACUGAUUCAACGCCCACUUGAGCUUAGGACUAACAUUUCCGUCCGCCAGCUGAUUGUCAUAUGUGAUAUUCAGUUGCUUCUUCUGGAUUUGUGCUGAAGUCUUUGCUUACUUCGGGGCACUGUCGAUACAAAUUUCAGUCUAUCGCACAAUGGGGUUCGUGGCUGUAGGUGAGCCUAACAGUACCAGUAUAAAUUGCUGAAUCCAUUCUGUUUCAGGCACACAAAAACCAUUAGAUGACAUGUUUUUGGUAAUUAGCAGGUCUUUCCAUCUUUCGCGAGAUGCAUGCAAUACAAGCAUUACGUAAAGCCACAAUGCAUUAGCUGCAUAUUUUUACCUAUUUAUCUGUCCUUCAAAGGUGAUAUAUUCAGUAAGUUUGAUAUUCGAACUGGAAAUUUGGGUGACAUUUUGAAUAAUUGUGACUUCUUGCUUUCCUUUUUAAAACAUAAUAAAGAUGUUCUGCAAUGUUAAUCAGCUUAUGAAGCAUAAAAGCAGCUUAUGUUUGUAUAUGAAUGGUUCACUAUUGUGGCGGAGCUAGAAAAGAUAAGUAGGAGAUAGUAAACCUCCAAACAUAUAGCACCCAAAGAAAUUGUAAGAGCAUUUCAACACAAAUAAACAAAGUUUGUUUAUCACUAUUUUCUCGUCCAAUCAUUAGUUAGGAACUUGAAUUCUAUUAUUAAGGUUUAUUCUAGAGGAGAGGAUGUGUGAUAUGUUGGACCCUCUAUACCUUAUAAUAUCUUUUUCUCUAUUUAGUAAAAUGGUGAGGAAUUAAUAGUUGAGAGUAAUUCUUUACCAUACCAAUUACAACUGGUUGUGGUGAUCACGUGCCUUCCCCAGCCCCCCACUAGUUCCGCCCGUGGCUCACUGCAUUCUUUCAUCAAAGUUCUUCCUUCUUUCUUUAACUGCUCAUGGAAGGUUUGAUGCCAUGUUGAAAGUUUUACUUUAGAGAUGGCUUCGAAUGCGUCAAAGACUUUGCACUCUGUUAUGGUGAUACAAUCACUUUUAUUGUGCUUCAGAACACACUUGGAAAACCAUUUAAUAGUAUAAAUGAAAAAAGUAUGUAGACGGCAAGACAUAAAAUUCAAAAGUUAAGUAGCCCAACAUUCAGUAGUGCUUCUAAGCUACAAGCUGAUCGGCAAAUAUUGAGUGAUAGAUUAGAAGAGAAAACUUUCAAGGUUGUAAAAGCAAAAUCUUUUUUUCUUUUAUCCUUGUUAUCUUGCCUGCUUGGAGAAGGGUUUCUGGUGCAGUUUCCUGAAGCAAUUACACUCCAGCAAACGUAAAUUGCAGAACAGUGAGAACAUUGUCUUUUUCUCAGUCUUGGUUCUUCCAAUUCCUUCCAAACACAAUUUUAAGCAUGAAUUUGAUCUUCUCCUUCGACUUCCGUAGUUACUGUGUGAUUAGGUUGUCUCUUCAGGGCAACAAUUGAUAGAACUGCCGAAAUUGAAUUCUAAUAAUUUCAUAGUUUUGCAAGGGUAAUCUGAGCGUUGUUAUUAAUUCACCUUGCUGAUGGAUACGUACCACUUUAGACGCCUCUUUGACACAGUACAAGAAGCCUUAUAAUCACAUGAAUAGCAAGUGCUGGGGCUAAUGUCAGAUACAAUUUUCUCUUAGGUUUUCGCCUGAUCAUAUUUUUCCGUUGGUUGGUGGUGUCUAUUCCUUUGUUAAUUAUUUUACAAAACACAUAACUGUUGUCAAGUAAAGCCAUGAAUUUAACCUAUCUGGCUUGUAUCUGCUGCUUUCUGCGUUUUCCUUCUUUUACUUUCACAAUGUCUGAACUGGAUUAUGUCAGAGAAUAAGAGGAACUCGUCUGUUCUUUCAAAGAAUUUCUGAUAUGAUAUAGGGAGCCACAUAUUGGUGGCAAUGACUGACUUAAAAUCUGCCUAUGUGUUGGCGGACUCAAUUUGCCAAAGAUUGUUGAUCAGCAGCAUGAAAUUUGCGCCUAGAAAAUAAUUUUUUAUACGUAAUUGCGUUAAACUUCAGUAGCUUAAGAUAGAAGGAUCAGCUAUUCAACACUGUUAGGCUGUACUUUGGAGUAUCCUCAUCUUCUUUGAUAGCCGUUGUAGGCUUAAUUUUCCUUGCAUGUAAAGCGGGCCCCAAUGAAUAAAUUUACUUCGAAGAGGACAAUCAUAUUGUGAUUCAAACUAUGAAGUCAUUUUUGUUGCUUACUGCUUGGGAUAUAGUCUUGACAAUGCAAUAACUUGGCUUGCCAUGAAGUCUUCUUGAUUACUGCUUGGGAGAUUUUCUUGAUAAUGCAUUAACUUAGCUACGACAUUACAAUUAUGGAGUUGCUUGAGAAGGCUCACUACUAGUAGAUUGGCAGAGAAUAAUCGGUAAAAAUGUUGGUGCUUGCUGACUCUAAGGUCUCAGUGUUCACCUCAUAGUCAUAUCGACUUCACGUGAGAAAGGAUGAUCCUUCAAUAACCCGGAGAUAGAGCCUUGUUGGUAAGCUAAUGCUAGCAUCUCAUUUCUUGGAUUUUAGAUUUGUGUGUUGAACUCAACAUGUUUGGAAGGUCUGGAUUCAAUCAGAAUCUGAUUGUUAAAUUUGUUGGAAGUCAAUUUAAAACUGUCUGUCAGUGGGGUUCUGUAACGACCCGGCUUACGAGUAUUAAUAAUUUGUUUGAUCCAAA